CUACUACCGAUUGAAUGGUUUAGUGAGGACUCCUGAUUGGCGCCGCCGCCCAGGCAACGGAGCAGCGGACUGCCGAAAAGUUGUUCAAACUUGAUCAUUUAGAGGAAGUAAAAGUCGUAACAAGGUUUCCGUAGGUGAACCUGCAGAAGGAUCAAGAUCGGAAGGGCGUCUUGGAGGGAAAUAUUGUACAUCUCGGUGGUCGUCGUAUCAUUAAAAAACAAACAUAACCACUACUCGAUCUAACGACGCCUCCACUGUCAUGAAACAUCUGCUAAA
rnacentral:misc_RNA from 1 species